rnacentral:rRNA from 1 species
UUCCGGUUGAUCCUGCCGGACCUGACUGCUAUCGGAUUGAUACUAAGCCAUGCGAGUCAUUGUAGCAAUACAAGGCAUACGGCUCAGUAACGCGUAGUCAACCUAACCUAUGGACGGGAAUAACCUCGGGAAACUGAGAAUAAUGCCCGAUAGAACAUUAUACCUGGAAUGGUUUAUGUUCCAAAUGAUUUAUCGCCGUAGGAUGGGACUGCGGCCUAUCAGUUUGUUGGUGAGGUAAUGGCCCACCAAGACUAUUACAGGUACGGGCUCUGAGAGGAGUAGCCCGGAGAUGGGUACUGAGACACGGACCCAGGCCCUAUGGGGCGCAGCAGGCGAGAAAACUUUGCAAUGUGCGAAAGCACGACAAGGUUAAUCCGAGUGAUUUCUGCUAAAGAAAUCUUUUGUUAGUCCUAGAAACACUAACGAAUAAGGGGUGGGCAAGUUCUGGUGUCAGCCGCCGCGGUAAAACCAGCACCUCAAGUGGUCAGGAUGAUUAUUGGGCCUAAAGCAUCCGUAGCCGGCUCUGUAAGUUUUCGGUUAAAUCUGUACGCUCAACGUACAGGCCGCCGGGAAUACUGCAAAGCUAGGGAGUGGGAGAAGUAGACGGUACUCGGUAGGAAGUGGUAAAAUGCUUUGAUCUAUCGAUGACCACCUGUGGCGAAGGCGGUCUACUAGAACACGUCCGACGGUGAGGGAUGAAAGCUGGGGGAGCAAACCGGAUUAGAUACCCGGGUAGUCCCAGCUGUAAACUAUGCAAACUCAGUGAUGCAUUGGCUUGUGGCCAAUGCAGUGCUGCAGGGAAGCCGUUAAGUUUGCCGCCUGGGAAGUACGUACGCAAGUAUGAAACUUAAAGGAAUUGGCGGGGGAGCACCACAAGGGGUGAAGCCUGCGGUUCAAUUGGAGUCAACGCCGGG